rnacentral:tRNA from 5 species
UCGGGAUAGCUCAGCUGGUAGAGCAGAGGACUGAAAAUCCUCCGUGUCCA